AAAUUUAUUAAAAGAAAAAAAUUAGCAAAAGGGUUGAUCCUGAAGGCCACCCCUACAAUUUUCCGCUAAUUCCAUACCUAAGCGCUUAAAAUUGCACUUAUGACGUUUUUAAGCUCUCCGAGCUCAAAAUUA